GCCAUGGUAGCUGCAGAGGUGGCUGGAGCCCCAAGCCCUUUAAAUCGCCACCAGAGCCCCGGGCGGGGUAGGUCAGACUGUGCUGAAGGGCUAGCUGGAGAAGUCUGGCCCCAGCUGCACCCCUUCCGCCCAAGGGCCUGCCCCUUCUAGGGGCCCAGAGCCGCCCCCUUCCCCGCACCACACAUACACCUUGCCCAGGAUCCUGACUCCCCUGCGUACCGGUUUGAAUUUGACAAUGAUUCAAGGGGGAACUAUUGAUGGUUGUUCCGGACUACAUUCAACAAAUCAGAGAUAUGAAAUGCAUGUUCAAACUUCCCAGCCUUAGGAAGGGACUUGCACAGAGACAUGGGUGGCUGCUGCUGCAUUAACAGUUUGUAUAAGGAAGAUUAUAAGCAUUAAUGAAACACACACUGGAAAAUCCACACCAAAAACCACCUGCUUUAUCAAGAAGAGAAAUUGUAAUCUUACUGUGGAAUGCAACAAAAUUGCAUACAGUGUAUUCUGCACAUUUUAGGUUCUCAUUCAAAAUUUAAUCGGAAACAUUAACUCAUACUACCUUGGACAUAAAUACUAUGUUCCAGUCUUGGUUUGUUUUUUGAUCAAUCAUAUACCUUAAUAUUACAUUCUUAUUUAUGGCAUAAGGGUAUAAUUUAAAUAUAUAGAAUUUGUAGUAUGAUCAAAUUAACAUUACUGUCUGAAUUUUUAAUUUUCACAUUUCCUGACUUCCUGCUACUUUAAUUGUGCAACCUACAGGGGCCCGAUAAUUUUUUUUUUUUUUUAAAUCAUACAGAAGUGAGGGUUUUUUAAAUCUACUAUUGUUACAACAGGUGUAACUAAAAGAUGGAAAAGAUCUUUUAUGUGCAUUUGACAGCAUUUUCUGUCCAUUAAUGUCACUGUUGCCAACAUAGUCAGUUUCGUGCCCAUUUGUGUGGGCCUUUAAAAAUACCGUUGUCUUCUGUUAUCUGAAACAGAAUAGGAAAAUGAGUUUAUAAAGCCACAGAAGUUGGCAAGGAGACCCCAGACGUGAAGUCACUUAAUUCUUUUUUUUUUUUUAAACCAAACUAGCUAGCUUUCAAGUUGCCAGAAUCGCUUUAAUAUUACAUUAAACUAACCUGUGCAUCUGAGAUACAUACACAUCCCUUUAAAACAAGUAUGCUAUUUGCCACAAGUACUAAUUCCCAAAACUGGCUUUAUUUUCCUGAUCAUAGUAUCUCAGCAUAUAAAUAAGAAUGCAGGCACUCUUCUAUACAGAGCCUCUCACUGGAGUCACUGGUUUGAAUCUUGCCUAUUAAAGACAGCGACUGAAAGUUACUACUGAGAGUUAUUUAGUGGCUUAUAUGAAAUGAGGUGGCAGUGGACAGACAUUUACGGCUCUGAAAGAUUUAUUUUGACAUCAGAACAAAUAUGUUUUAAGUUGGCAGAGUCCCUCUAACUGAAAGUUAAAGACAUAUAGCAAUGUAUGAUGUUAUCAGUCCAUGAAUCAGUUAGGAAAGUAUCAACUUCUAUUGCAAAGGCACAAAGGUAGAUACCUACACUUCUUGUUUCAUGACUGAUUGAGCAUAUAGCAAUUCUGCAGAGUAAAUUCAGUGUCUAUCAACUAGUAUCCUAACACCUUCCAUAUUAAAAAAACCCCUACAUGUUCGAUAAAACCUAUUUUAAAUACUUCAGCAUGGAAUGUAUUUUUGUUAUGUCAGUUAUUCAGAUACCAAAGUAAGGUUUUUCAAAUUUUUGUAAAGUGCUCUGUAUUCUAUUUGCAAAAGGCUUCUGAAUUAUUUAAGAUUGUGUUAUGUGGCUUUUGAAUCAAUACCACACCCUAGAAUCAUCUUUGUACAGACCCUUAUUCAAUUAUGAGUUAGUCAUGACCACUACAACAAUUCUUAUGGACAAAGACAUUCAACUCAGCAUAUGCUUUGGGCUCACCCUAUCAGGCAUACUUCCACUCAUACUUCUGCAACUUGCUAACAUCCAGUCUCAUUCCUAUAGCCAGGACAACAGGUAAAUCUAGGUGAUCAAGCCUUCACUAAGCCAGAAGUCAAGAAGGUGUAACCAGUGAUGCAAUCUUAAUCUCCACAAGACUUAAAGAAUAUACCCAAUUUACAGCAAAAGCCAAUAAAAGUUAGUAGUAUUUUCUGUUUCAACAGAGCAUUCUGUCUAAAGAAUUACUCUGAGGAUAUCAGAAUGUUGGUAGGGUCAACUUCUGGCUUUAUUCCAUUUUCAAAGGCUGAAUAAAAGACAAAGAGCAGCAAGUGCUGAAAGAGGGGAUGUGAUAGAUGUUCUUUAUAAUUAAUCUCACAACUUUUCUGAAGUAAAACAAAGGAAAAAAGAAAAAAGUUACCCAUAGUUAUUUCCCUCAGAGGUAAGUCUACUGCCACCACAAUAGACUCCAUUUUUUAACCACAUUCUACCCUUAUCCGCAUAACUUGAGUAAGAGAUUGUUUUGACUGGAAUAGUGAAGAAGCACGAAGAUUUAUGGUACAACACACUCAGUAACUUUCUUGUUAUCACUACAACAGAUCUUGGUCUUUCUGCAAUUCUUUUUAAGCAAAUAUGGUUAUCAACAGUGCUUGUUAGCAUUCAAUAGUACAAAAGGGUUUGGUAAAGAAUGUUUAGGCUCUCCCUUUGUUGCAUGAUUCAUUCAGAAGAGUUGAUGAGCAUGUGGGCAUUGGUUUUUUGAGGGGGGUUGGCAGAGUUUACAUUUCAGACUAGAAAUUCUCAGGAACUCUAGAGCAGACUACGCACAUGUAUAACGGAGAUCAAUUUUACCUACUUUAGUAAACAUUACUUAAGUAUGUACUUAAGGACAAUUUCUGUGUAAUGUAAAAUUAUAUUGUCUUUGACUUUCACAUUCCUUUUAUUCACAGUAUGGAGAUGAAGUUUUAACAAUCAAGAAAUAUACCUGAUAAAGUUGACGUAGAUAAAUUCUUUUAGUGAAAAAUGCAGUUUAACAAUUGAAAUUACAAUUUGGUAGUUAUAGAAUCACAGACACUUGAAACUGAGGAGACAUAUUCAGUCACAUAAAUAAUCUGUUACCAAUGCAGAAUAUCAUAACUAAGGUUGAAGGCACUGGAAAUUAGAUCUUGUUUAAACAUUUCAUUCUGAAUUUCUCCUCAAAACAAGGUGUGUAAUCUGACAGCUCACUUCAUUAGGUUUAUAAUUGUAAAAGCACCUAAACUCUAAUUACAACAAUAUGGAAAGUUUUUUCCAAGACAUUUUACCCAAAUAAGACAUGCAAUCCAAGUGAGAAAGAGGCAGCUAUACCACUGUGUAUUGCAGGCCAUAAAUAAAUUGACCCAAGACCCAUUACAAAUUCUGUCAGUAAAAGUUUACCCUCUCUAAUCUACAUUCAACCUUCCAAGUAACAGUCCUUUUUCAGGGCUCAUAACUGACUGAAAUUUAGAAUGUUUUAAUUACACCUAAAGAAGUCCACUGAUUACAAUACAGUACUAAAACAACAGAUCCUGAGCCAAACAGACCCUUAUUCAAGCAGAGCCAUUGAUUCAUCAUGUUAAAUGAGGCAAGUGACUUGAACUCCUUGUGCCUCAGUCAACUCAGCCAUAAAACUGGUUAAAAGCAGAAUUUCUUAGAACAUAUUAUGGUGGAGCAGUAGUAAGACAAUAGUUAAGAUUGCAUCAGGGUUUUCAUUUCAACUGGAGGUAGAUAACUAACCCUGAAGUGGAGUGGGGGAUGUAAAAAAAAAAAACUUCCACCUACUACCUAAGCAAGAAAUUAGGAAUGACUGGGUGUAUAGGUGUUUAACAACUUUCCUACCACCCUGUCAAAAAUAUGCACAAGGAGGAGAAAAAAGGAAUCACGGUGACUUAUGCCCAAGGAGACAGUACAAUAAACAUUUAAAAAGCCAUACUUAAAGAGUUAACUGUGUUAAAUGAUAAAUUUGUAUGCAAAAUUGAAGUUGAUAAAUUAGGGUACUAUGACAGCCCAAAAACACCCAAACAUUCCACAUCCAACAAAAGUAACAGUAGCAAUUUUUUGGUCUAUAAACAAAUGUUGGGAAUAGGAAAGUCUUGAAUCUGAGAGCUGAAACUAUGUUUGGCUUGUUAAAACAAUGCACCACCAAAAGAUAAGUAAUAGAAUACAACGUAAUUAGUCAGUGACAUUCUUCUUAGACUUCCUAGUUUUUGAAAUACUCCUUUACUCAAACUGAAAAUGCACUUGACAUAAUCUCAAUCUGUACCAACAGACAACAAAGCCACCUGAAAGAUCUCAUUUUUAAAUGCUGGUCUCUCUCAUUUACAGCUUUGCCAGAUCUAAUAUUAAAGUUUAACAAAAGUGAAAUGGUUAUCAUUCAAAUUUCUUCACAUACAUCAUCCUUUAGGUUUCUUAGCUAAAUUUACUGGUAGGAGCUAAGUGUUGUCCUUUUGUUUUUGUAACUUUAUACUAGAAGAACACUGUAGGAUGUUAUCCAUCUAUAAAAACAAAACAAAAAUGUACCUUUCGUAAUACCAUAUCCCGAGGUAGAGGGGAAAAAAAUUAAAAGACACUGUUUGGAUGGACAACUACCCCAAUAUUU